GUUCAAACACCGGUUCCCGUACGAUCACCGAACUUAAGCAAAGUCAAGCCUGGUCAGUACUCAAAUGGGUGACCAAUUUUGGAAUAUCAGGUGCAGUAA